AGGUCCUUGAGCAGUAUGAACAAGAAGGGUUUAAUUUCCUAGCCAAAGUUUUUAAUUCUUCACAUUCCUUCUUGGAAGACUUGACAGGUCUGACUUUAUUACACCAGGAGACACAGGCUGCUGAGAUCUGGGACAUGAGUGAUGAUGAAACAGUUUGAAAUCAGGUGCUGAGGAGGAGGAGGAUGCUCUGGAGUGCAGCCCUGCCUUUUAUCUCUGCUUUGAGGAGUUAAUGAUUGCUUACCCCUCCUGGCUGCUGGAAAGACAAACAAACAGAACCCACGUUUUGCCAUGAAUAACUUCUCUGGAAAAGCAGUCUCUCAUGGACAGAACUCACCAUGUUUUCAUUUUAUUGUGUAAAUAACUGCAGCAAUGUGUUUGUCUUUAAACCUGGUCUGUCUUUUUUUUUGUGGGUUUUUUUCUUUUUUUUAAGCUUCUAAAUAUGGCUUACAUAUAAAAAAUGCUGCUUAAGUAACUCUGGGUGGUUUGUUUGGGCCAGGUUUUAUUUUGCUUCUCAGUGGCCAUGUCCAAGCAGCAUUUCUGAAUGGCUUUUUUCAUCUCUCUCAGAUUUGGGGCACUUCAGGUGGAAUUUGUGAAGGUUGAGCACUUUCUGCUCUUGGGAGUUAAAUUUAAUGUUUAAAGGUGGGGAGGAGUGGGGAAGGAGCUGAACCUUCUACCACAGGAAUUAUUUGCAAACACAAAUUUCAGGUGCAGAUGUUCUUGAUGUGUCCAUGGAGUUGUUAUUCCCUGUGAAGAUCCCAUCUUUUCAUGCUAUGCAAACAAAGUGCUUUGACUGAUUUUUGCCCAGGAAAGACCAAAAUGCAUUUAUAUCCUGAUUAGGCUCCCCUGAAGCUCAGAGAAGGUUCUGUUCUGUGGUAAAAAAUCACUUUAGGAGGUGGUGGGUCAUUGAUUCAGUCAAAACCUGCAGGGAAAUGCUUCAGUGAAAUGAGAAAUUUGUUCCCUGACUUUGCUGUUCUUGGGUGUGGUCAUGCAGAACCUUGCAGGUGUUCAAAAAGAGGAAUUCUCUUUUCCUUUUUGGUUCAUUGAAUUUUUUCAAGUGGCUUAAUAAGCAAAACCAGAAGUUUGAAAAUCCUUGAGUUUAAAAAAAUAGCUUGAGAAAAUGGAGUUUUAAAAUCUCAGAGUACAUUUUACUGCAAAAUUGAAUCUAUUUGUCUUAACUUGGAACAGGUUUUAGAAGGAAAUUUGAAAUCCCUUUCAUAGCUUUAUAUCGUGGGGUUUAUGAGUUAACUCACUUAGAAAAAAUGCAAAUCACUUUAUCUGCCAAGCAGCCUCUAUUUCCCAGGUAUAUUAUGAAAAUUAGUUGGUCAAUCCAAUUAUUUUAGCUCCUUCCUUAACAUAAGCUCUGAAGACUUUUUUUUUUGUAGAAAAUUUCCCAGUUUCUCUCUCAUCAGAACAAGUUCAGUCAGGUCAAAAUAUGCAACUCCCAUCUUCUGAUCAGAAAUGAUUUAUUGAAACCUGCUGAGGUUUGCACCAAGUGUCUAAAAUAACCAUUAUUGUCUAAAAUAGCCAUUAUUGUCUAAAAUAGCCAUUAUUUCUAUUUAUUUAUUAUCAUAGUCAUUGUAUUUACAUCAUUUAUUACCUAGGGAAAUGUCUAGCUUAGGUAACUGAAGUGUAAUAUAAAAAUAUAUAUGAAUGCAAUAUAUUUUGAAAAUCAGAGCCUGGUAAAUGAGCAAGUCAUCUCUUGGUGGUCAGGCACUGAAGACUGAGACUGAAACCCUGAAAUCUGCAUUUUUAAAGCAGUUUAAAUACAUCAUGGCUUUGCUGGCAUGUUUUUAACCAUGCCAUAGUCCAGCUGGAGCCACAAGUUGGUGCCAAGACAGUUUAAAGGGAAUAAUCUGCUUUUUUUAUCUUUGGGAGCUGCUGACCGUGGAGUGUAAAUGGCUCUGCAGUUUGGGGUUAUCUAAGACUUGAAAGCUGCACAUCUUUCUGAGCCUGGUAAACAUUAAUAAUUGUUUUGAGUGCCUGAAACUCUGCCUGGGAGGUGUCUGUGCAGGGCAGGGAGGGUUCAGGCUCAGGGUUAGUGCCAUGUGUCCUUCCCUCUGUCACUGCAGGGCCACCAGCUCGGCCAGGCUGGGCUCUUUCCUGGCCAGCUGCUCCCCUCAUGUCCCUGAUGUGCAGAAACUCUUAAGUCUGGCUUGGAAUGUCUUCCCUUGUCUGACUGAAAUGUUGGUUUUGUUCUCCUUGUGGCCCAGAAUUGUUCUUGUUCCAGCAGAGCUGCUGGAAUUGUUUCCUCCUUGGGAGGGAAGGAAGGAGAGAAGCUUCCAUGUCUGUGCUCUGGAAGCAUUUGAGCUCUGGGUUUUGGUGUCCUGUCUUCCUUCUUUUCUUCUUUUCUUUUCUUUUCUUUUCUUUUCUUUUCUUUUC